GGGGUUUUUUGCAUCUUAAUGUCCUUUUGUCUUAUUUUUAUGUCUUCAUGUUGUUUACUUCAUCUUACUUUCUGGGAGAGUUCUUUUUAUUUCUAUAAUCUCUAUUGAAUAUCUAUUUCCACAAUCAUAUUUUAAUUUCCAAGAUCUCUUUCUUGUUUUAUUCCUUUUAAAAUAGCAUCCUAUCCUUGCUUUAAAGGCAUGGUUUCUUCUCACAUUUUUCUGAGGAUAUUAUUUACAGAUUUUUCCCCCCAAGUUCUCUUCUGUUCCCUGAAUUACUUUUGUUUCCUCUGGAACCAGUUUCUCUAUUUGUUUGGCUCUUUUGUUCAUGUUGUAAUUUGAGGCAACUGUCUGGCAAUCCUUGGAUUUCUGUUCUUGUUUAAGAAAGAGACUUAAGAAAUUGUGUGAAUGGGAGAGGCUUGUCAACCAGCAAGUGAGUGAGCAGGAAACUAGCUGUCGACUGGGCAGUCCCUGAAUGCUAUAUCUAGAGGUGCUCAACUUCUUUAGAUGAGAACUUCUCACUUAAACUUUUUAAACUUUUUUUCCCCUAGGGAACAGAUUGCAGCUUCCAAGAGCUGUGUAUAUAGAGAGGGGAGAGAUGGUAGGACUCACCUCCCUCCUCACACGGCUUGAGGAGCCGUGUCUCCAACCUGGGUUCAAGUCCUGGUCCCCUUCCUGGGCAACCUUGGUGAGUGACUGCAACAUCACAGGGCCCAGGCUGCUUCCUACUGCAGGUCCGUCUAGGACAUUACCUUCAACCUCAGCAAGGUCAGAUGACAUGGGUAUCCUGUCCUUUUCAUCGCAGCCAGGUUGGGCUGGAAAAAGACCCGGAUUCCCCCCAGGGCUGAACCGGCUGGUCCUCAAACAAAAUGGCCGCCGCGCUUUCCCUUCUUCGGCCGGGAGGGCAUCUCUGCCAGGAGGUGGCACCACGAGCUCAUGUUUCCAGCAGAGACGUGUCUGACCAUUUGGUAAUCGCCCCUCAGCAUUGCAAGGAGCCUGAAAACUCGCCUAUUUUAUAGCUGCCUCUACAUAGACUUUUAAUCACGGUGCUGAUGGUGUGAUUGGAUUUUCCACUUUUCAGCUUGCUUCCAGGAGAUCAAAAUCAUCUUCCUGUGGACUGUCCUCAGUAUUUACGAAAGGGGUAAAGAGAGAAUGUGGCAAGGCCAGCUUCCCCACUGUGGUCUUUCCCUGUGCUCAGAAGCACAACUACAGACUCCAGGGAGCAUGUACUGUGGAAUUACACCUAUAAUAAGCCAUUUGCAUGCUAUUCAGGAGCACAAAUGGCCACUGAUGCUGGCAGUUGCCUCAUUGUCACCUAGAAGAUCACAGAUAGGAUUUUGAAGCCUCACAGCUCUGGCAGUGGCUAGGCUGGAGAGCUCCAGAAAAAGUGGUUAAGGGGGUCUUCUUGGGUUUCUGUGAGCAGGGUCAGUGUUGUGACGACUGAGGAGGACUUGAGCUAAAGGCAAAUAGGGCCAAAGACUGGGCUUCCCAGGUGAGGCUAGUGGUAAAGAACCUGCUUGCCAAUACAGGAGAUGUAAGAGGCCAGAUUGGAUCCCUAAGUGGGGAAGAUCCCCUGGAGAAGGAAGUAGCAACCCACUCCAGUAUUCUUGCCUGGAGAAUCCCAGGGUCCUGGUCAGGGGAGCCUGAUAGGCUACAGUUCAUAGGGUUACAGAGAGUCACCCAGGGCUAAAGUCUUAAUUUUGUCCUGGGUUUGUUAAGUGAAUUGAAGAGAGAAAUUCCCCAACUCUCUUCCACUCUGUGACUUUUCUUAAGAAAGAGGAAGGAAGAAAAGAGACGGAAUGGGAGGUGGAGUGAAAAGAAAGAUUAAUUAUGUGAAACAGUUAAUGUUUAAUUAGAUUAUCCUGCCUUUUCCCUCUUAAGAAGUGCAUAACUUUAAGCUUUAGAAAGUAGAAGAUAUAUAAAUAUAUUAUUUGGUCUUUGCUUUGAGCUCUUUCUGUCUCUUGUACAUGUGUGAGCGUUAAACAUGUAUUUGGUUGGCAGGCUAGAAAAUUAACGGGCUAAAUCAAAUUAUGUGGACUGGUUUUGACCUUUUGAAUGUUAGGUUGUCAACACUUUCUUCUCUGGGGUACAAGCCUCAACUGAACAUUUAGGAUGCAUUCAUUUUGAAAAGGAAAAAAAUUACUUUCAGACCCCAUACAAGAUUCUUUUAUCAUUUAAAAAAGAUAUGAUGAUUC
rnacentral:lncRNA from 1 species